GACGAACGCUGGCGGCGUGCUUAACACAUGCAAGUCGAACGGAAAGGCCCUGCUUUUGUGGUGUGCUCGAGUGGCGAACGGGUGAGUAACACGUGAGUAACCUGCCCUUGACUUUUGGAUAACUUCAGGCAACUUGGGCUACUACCGGAUAGGAGCUCCUGCUGCAUGGUGUGUUUUGGAAAGUUUCGGCGGUUGGGUAUGGACUCGCUGCUUAUCGGCUUGUUGGUUGGGUAGUGGCUUACCAAGGCUUUUACGGAUAGCCAGCCUGAGCGGGUGACCGGAGACAUGGAGAAGAAGAUAAGGGGAAGAAGCAUAGGGGAGGAAGGAGUGGGGAAUAAGGCACAAAGGGAGGAAGCCUGAGGGAGCAACGACGGGUGCGGGAAGACGGAAUUCGGGUUGUAAACCGAUAUAGCCAGUGACGAAGCGGGAGUGAAGGUAAUGGGUAAAGAAGCAACGGCUAAAUACGUG
rnacentral:rRNA from 1 species